rnacentral:rRNA from 1 species
AGCGCAGGCGGUUGGAAUAGUCUGAUGUGAAAGCCCACGGCUUAACCGUGGAAGGUCAUUGGAAACUGUCCAACUUGAAUGCAGAAGAGGUAAGUGGAAUUCCAUGUGUAGCGGUGAAAUGCGUAGAUAUAUGGAGGAACACCAGUGGCGAAGGCGACUUACUGGUCUGUAAUUGACGCUGAGGCUCGAAAGCGUGGGUAGCGAACA